UAUAUUCUGGCACGGCUAGAUUUGUAGUAGAUAAGGAAAUAAAUGUGUGUGUGUGUAUAAUAAAUUAUAUAAUUUAUACACACGCACGUUUAUUUCCUUAUCUACUACAAAUCUAGCCGUGCCAGAAUUUG